UAGUUGCAUAAUUGGCGCGAUUUUUUCCCAGUGGCUUUCCUUUAUCCGCGCCAUAUGUGAAAGCCGUAUAUUUUCUCGCAAAACUAUAUGUUUCUUGUAAUAAUUUAUAAGUUGUUGACGAUCAAUGUGUGUGUUUGUAUUUUCUUCAUUGAAACUGCUAGACAACGUGUGGAGCCCUCGUUAAUUAUCCAUUAAAUAAGAAUACGUCUGUUUUUAUUCAUGUGGAUAAGGAAUAUACAUAUAUAUGCGCACUCGCAACACACACACACAACAUACCUGUGUGCCUGGACUCAUUGAGAAGUCAACACGAUGCCCUCGGUAAAUUUCCAGGUACGAUGAAUUUCUGCACGGAUGCUGCAGUGUGCACACAUCAAGAGACGAACUGUAAAUAGGCAUACGCUCUGAUGAACAAAGCUCGCGAAUAUCGGAAUCGUCUAUACACACAACAACAGAUAGGUUUAUUCAGAGUUGUGAAGUAUACGACACUAGAGUAUAGUACGCUAGUCGUAUAUUACGUAAGAACGUAGUAAUAUUGCGACUAGCCUUGAAAGAAAUUCCAGGAUACGAUUUUGCAGGAAAAACCGUAGCAAUGUAAGUAGCAGUAUUCUCGAUGAAGAACGGAACACGAAUCCGUAUUCUACGGUUGCCAAUCAGCAAGAUGCGCUGAACGAGAACAAGAAAUAGCCGAGUGUUCUUUUCAAAAGGGAGAAACUUUCCAAUGAUGACCACCGAAGUGGAAUAUGGUAAUACGAGAAGUAAGAUCGGUACGAAUGCGUUGAGAAUUUUCUUCGAAUCUAGCUACGUUAUGUAUUCGCACCAAUAUACACGACGCUUAUGUACUUACUUAUAUGUGUAUGUACGUGUAAGUCAUAUCAAUUCUACUCUCGAAAUGGUAUUGUUUCGAGAGAUAUCUCGUUGUUGAAAAUGUAACGUUCGAUGCACCGUAAACCUAUUAAGAGGAGCAAUUAGUAUCUCUUAAUGAUGUUUCGUUAGCCAAAUAGAUAGUAAUUUAUCUUGCCUUAAUUGCUUAUCCUCCCUGCUUAUCUCUUUUUACACAUUUUUAUUUUAUUUGAUUUUAAUUAACACCUAAACCACCCAUCACGAUGUUAUUUUUUCAAUGAUAUUUAACAAAGCUAAUUUACAUACUUUGACCUAAAGUUUAUACCUUUAAGCUACGUGCCAUUUUGUGCCACUACGAUAUAUAAAACAAUUCACGCAAACACGCAAGUAUGAUAUUUAUCGUACGGCGAACUUACAUUAUUAUUCAUCAUUUUCUUAAUAUCGAUGAAACACGCAUCUCCAUUGUGUAUAUAGUAAAUAUUUUUUUUUCCCUUUCUAACAAUAUCAAUUAAUAUUCUAACAUAAUAUUUUAAUAUUUUCAUAAAAAAUAUAAUAAUAUUUUAAAUAUAUAAUAAUUAUUUUUGCUCUCACAAUAAUUUUUUGAAAAAAGUUAAUUUUCUUAUUUCAUCGAUAAAUAAUUUUUAUGAUCUGAUAUUAAGUUAAUUUCGUGAUUGCAUUUUUUCUCUUUCUCUAUUGAAUAUUAAUAAAAAAUGCUUUGUUAAGUAACUUUACUUGUUGGUGAUUUUAUUUUCGAAAGAAACUACAUGUUUUUCUUUCCGACGAAAUCGAAAUUGCUGAGGCAUCUUAUUUUCUUUGAUUCUGUUUUCAAUCUCUAAAUAUUCUACGCUUUAUCGAAUAUUUUUGUUAUAAUUUUGUAAUGAUCGGACAUAGUCUACUAUACAAAUAUGUCUAUUUUUAGUAGACAUAGAAAUUACGAAUAUUUUUGUUGAAUUGUACCUAUUGUACACAUUUACAUAUUAUUAUUUACAUGUAUAUAUAUAUAUAUAUUCGUGUAUAACAUUCUUAUUAUUAUUAUACUUUCCAUAUGUAACAAGUAUACGAAAUA